UGCCCGGGUGGCGGAAUUGGCAGACGCGCCAGCUUGAGGGGCUGGUGGGCUUAGGUCCAUGCAGGUUCAAAUCCUGUCCCGGGCAG
rnacentral:tRNA from 1 species